ACAAAGGCUCUGUUAUGCUAUCACGCAGCAGAGCCAAUAACAUACAAAAUAAAAAUCUCU
rfam:Chelonia mydas contig146680, whole genome shotgun sequence.